CAAAAGCGCUGUUACGUGAUGGAUCCUUGCGACUCUGCUCAACAGUGCUGUCUCCAUGGAGCUCGCAUCUUCUUCAUUGUUCUCCAAAAUCCUCUCCACAUAAGAAAAUCCACCUGGGAAAGUUUGAGGGAAGGUAUGAUGUCAUCCUGCCAGCAGCCAGCAACGACGUGUUACUUGGAGCCUGCAGCUCUUUGCUCUCUACACCCCAAAACAAGGCUGUGCUCAUGCCACCACGGAUGCUGUGGAGUGACAUCUCUUCCUGACAUCAGCCAAAUGGCAGGUGGGCAACCUCAUGGCUAGCCCAGUUCUGCUGCCAUGGUAUACCCCAGUACUCCUGCCGGGCUCUUCUGCUUGGGCCAAUACACCAGAUGACACGAUACCCCCUGCUGAUGGCUGGGUCCACUGAGGAUCUGUAAGGGGUUCCUGGUUCUCCAGCAGACAGCAAUCCUCUACCCAGCAAACAACCACUUACACCUCACGUUGUGUCCUAACAAACACUGCCAAGACCUUGUGGCAUCUGCUGGACCCGCUGUUGGCAAGCUACAUGUAUCCUGAUUGGAUUCCAAACAAUAGACUUUACAACAAUUCAGGAAUAGCACGUUUGUUGCAACAACAGCAGAUAUAUCAUGAUUCCCUGCCUCGUAAUCACCACAUGACUUUCAAGAGGAGAUAAGAAUAUUUGAAGAAGUGUGAAGAAGAAUCGCUUGUUCAGUGAAUUACAGUCACCAUAGUACUUUUUUUUAUAAUUUUUAUUCAAAUGCUUGCAAUUAGGUGUUGGUUGGCAGCCUACUCGAUGUUUUGAGUGUCGUGCUGUGGAAGCUAUUUUUAUAGCUCCCAAAGUAACGUUUGUCAGCAAGUCGAAGAAUUAGGGGAUUUGAUUAAGCGCUAAUAUCUGGACACAUCGCACGCACACACACACGCACGUACGCAUGCACGCACGCACGCACACACACACACACACACACACACACA